rnacentral:tRNA from 1 species
AUUAAAGUGACAGAAAAAAUGUAAGGAAUUUAAGCUUCCUUUAUGAGUAGUUUUACUCCUUUAAUA